GAUAAACUAAAUUAGAUAGUUAUAUAUGAGUGAAAGAAAGCAACUUAUAAAUUCGCAGUAAAUUAAACAAAAAAAAAUAGAAUCUCAUUUCCCAUGUACAAGAGUUAAGUGGAAGAAAACGUAAGCGGAAGAAGUCUUUACCCCAAGACGGGUUGAUUAGUCAAUCUAGCUUGAAGCGGGCUAAAAAGAUCAACCGUAUAGAGUUUUUGCUAUCCUUUGUAUGGAUUCCCAUAUAUGUAUUGCUAAACAAACAGGGGAUUGAACAAAAAACGAGUGGAUGGUUAGGAACACCAAAAUACAUAAGGGAUUGGUAAUGGGGAUUAUGUAAAUUAUAUAAAAAGAGACUUCUGGAUAACAUAAAAAGAAUACUAAUUGGGGUUUUAAAUUCGUAGAAAUGAUUAGGCAGUACUCCCCAUGAUUCUGGUCCAGAGUAUCCUCCUAUCUGCCGAUUAAAGCAAUGACUAUUAGGAACGAAAUAAUCCUUUACUAUUUUUUAGUUUAAGCUCCAUUUGUGAUUUUAUCAGAUUCAAAAGCAGAAUAGGAAUGAAAAAGAAAUCUUUUUUUUUUUAUUCUUUCUUUCAUAAAUAUAGAGAGAUCUAAUAAUUUCUUAUACCUAUGGGUUCUUUUUCUUUUUGAUUUCGAUUCUCUAACCCAAUUGUAAGGACUCAUUUUUGCCCGGAAGCCCAGACCCAAUUACAAAUAAAAAUAAAAUACCCCAGCCCAAUUACUAAACCUAACCCAAGCUCAAACUACCCAACAGGCCCAAAAUUAAAAAAAAAACCUAGCCCAAUAACCUAAAACACUUUCAGCCAAAGGGAAGGACAGAAACCUUAGGGCGCGCCGCAUGGCCGCCUCACACGCCAGCCCCAGCCUUGCUGCCACCACCGUUCGUUGCACGUCCCAUCAGCAUCGCACGCCACUGCCACCAUGGCCUCCUUCACGCACGUCUGGCACCUGCAAAACACCCAUAACACGCCAACAGAAACAACAAAAAGGAAAAAAACAAAGAGAAAAGAAACCAACAAGCAGAAAAAAUCCAAAUCGCAAAACGACAAAAUAAAUAGAAAACUAAGUAGUUAAAUCGGCUAUAAAAGCCGAGAUCUAGGGCUUGUAAUUUUUUCUGACACUUUAAAAUAUUGGAAAUAAAAGAACAGAAGGUUAAUGCCCUAUUUCUUCUUUUUUUUUCCCUCUCUUUUCGAUCUAUCCAUUAAUUGUACUUUAUUUAUUUAUUUAUUACAAAUCUGUUCUAAAAGGAAACUAUUAAUAAAGAAAAGAAACGGAGAAAGAAACAUACCCGAAUCGCCCCGCAAGCGUUGUCACCGGAGUUUUUCGGGUCACCAAAAUCGGACCGAAAAGGGUGGCGUUUGGGGUUUCUUCUCACGGCCCUACGGCAAUGAAGGCUCGGCCUUCAAUCGGUCGUCGAAGCGGGGUUAAAAACCCAGAUUUCUGCUGCUCCGGCCACCGUCUACGACGGGGUCAUGGCGGCGCAGGCGACAGCCCUAUCAGUCUGAUGGAGGGGCUGAGAGAGAACUAAACUAUUCUCUGUUGUUUUUUUUUGGAAAAAUGAAGCUGGAAGUUUUUUUUUUCUUUUUUUUUUACGAUUUAUAUAGGGUAUAAAACGACGCUGUUUUGGACCUUAAUAUUGGUUGCCAAAACGACGUCGUUCAACAUUUAGACCCGAAAUUCACCCGACCCGCAAUGAGGAUCCACGCGUUUUCAUUAAAGGGGAUAUUUGCGCGAUAAAUCCCCCCGUUUUUAGGCGCGUUCAAUGUAGUUUUUUUUAUUUUUCGAU
rnacentral:lncRNA from 1 species